CAGCAGCCGCGGGAAUGCGAAGGGGGCUAGCGUUGCUCGGAAUUACUGGGCGUAAAGGGCGCGUAGGCGGACAGUUCAGUCGGGGGUGAAAGCCCGGGGCUCAACCCCGGAAUUGCCUUCGAUACUGGCUGUCUUGAGUAUGAGAGAGGUGUGUGGAACUCCGAGUGUAGAGGUGAAAUUCGUAGAUAUUCGGAAGAACACCAGUGGCGAAGGCGACACACUGGCCCAUUACUGACGCUGAGGCUCGAAAGCGUGGGGAGCAAACAGGAUUAGAUACCCCCGUAGUCCUUGUCUCUUAUAC
rnacentral:rRNA from 1 species